UACGUAGGGUGCGAGCGUUGUCCGGAAUUACUGGGCGUAAAGAGCUCGUAGGUGGUUUGUCGCGUUGUUCGUGAAAACUCACAGCUUAACUGUGGGCGUGCGGGCGAUACGGGCAGACUGGAGUACUGCAGGGGAGACUGGAAUUCCUGGUGUAGCGGUGGAAUGCGCAGAUAUCGUGAGGAAGACCAGUGGCGAAGGCGGGUCUCUGGACAGUUCCUGACACUGAGGCACGAAGGCCAGGGGAGCAAACGGG
rnacentral:rRNA from 1 species